UUCCUCCGGGCGGCAGCAGUAGGGAAUCUUCCACAAUGGGCGAAAGCCUGACGGAGCAACGCCGCGUGGGUGCCGCCUGUCUUCGGCUCGUCCCCCCCUGUUGUUCUCGCCGCCCGUGCGUGCGCGUCCCUGUUCCCGUUUCGACGGUAUCUACCCAGCCAGCCCCGGCUCCCUCCGUGCCCGCCGCCGCGGUCCUCCGUCGGUGGCCCGCGUUCUCCGGCUUUCUUGGGCGUCCCGGGCCCGCCGGCGGUCUUUUCCGUCUGCUGUGCCCGCCUUCGGCUCCCCCGGCGUCGUGCAUUGGCAAC
rnacentral:rRNA from 1 species